rnacentral:rRNA from 1 species
UAAAGAUUCAUCGCUGAUAGAUAGGCAUGCGUUCCAUUAGGCAGUUGGCGGGGUAACGGCCCACCAAACCGACGAUGGAUAGGGGUUCUGAGAGGAAGGUCCCCCACAUUGGUACUGAGACACGGACCAAACUCCUACGGGAGGCAGCAGUGAGGAAUAUUGGUCAAUGGGCGUAAGCCUGAACCAGCCAAGUCGCGUGAGGGAUGAAGGUUCUAUGGAUCGUAAACCUCUUUUAUAAGGGAAUAAAGUGCGGGACGUGUCCCGUUUUGUAUGUACCUUAUGGGUAAGGAUCGGCUAACUCCGUGCCAGCAGCCGCGGUAAUACGGAGGAUCCGAGCGUUAUCCGGAUUUAUUGGGUUUAAAGGGUGCGUAGGCGGCCUUUUAAGUCAGCUGUGAAAGUCUGUGGCUCAACCAUAGAAUUGCCGUUGAAACUGGGAGGCUUGAGUAUGUUUGAGGCAGGCGGAAUGCGUGGUGUAGCGGUGAAAUGCUUAGAUACCACGCAGAACCCCGAUUGCGAAGGCAGCCUGCCAAGCCAUGACUGACGCUGAUGCACGAAAGCGUGGGGAUCAAACAGGAUUAGAUACCCUGGUAGUCCACGCAGUAAACGAUGAUCACUAGCUGUUUGCGAUACACAGUAA